rnacentral:rRNA from 1 species
UACGGAGGGUGCAAGCGUUAUCCGGAUUCACUGGGUUUAAAGGGUGCGUAGGUGGGUUGGUAAGUCAGUGGUGAAAUCUCCGAGCUUAACUUGGAAACUGCCAUUGAUACUAUCAGUCUUGAAUACCGUGGAGGUUAGCGGAAUAUGUCAUGUAGCGGUGAAAUGCUUAGAUAUGACAUAGAACACCAAUUGCGAAGGCAGCUGGCUACACGAAUAUUGACACUGAGGCACGAAAGCGUGGGGAGCAAACAGG